GUGAGGAAUAUUGGACAAUGGGCGCAAGCCUGAUCCAGCCAUGCCGCGUGCAGGAAGACGCAUCUAUGGUGUGUAAACUGCUUUUGUACGGGAAGAAACACUCCCUCGUGAGGGAGCUUGACGGUACCGUAAGAAUAAGGAUCGGCUAACUCCGUGCCAGCAGCCGCGGUAAUACGGAGGAUCCAAGCGUUAUCCGGAAUCAUUGGGUUUAAAGGGUCCGUAGGCGGUUUAAUAAGUCAGUGGGGAAAGCCCAUCGCUCAACGAUGGAACGGCCAUUGAUACUGUUAGGCUUGAAUUACAAGGAAGUAACUAGAAUAUGUAGUGUAGCGGUGAAAUGCUUAGAUAUUACAUGGAAUACCAAUUGCGAAGGCAGGUUACUACUUGUGGAUUGACGCUGAUGGACGAAAGCGUGGGGAGCGAACAGGAUUAGAAACCCGAGUAGUCC
rnacentral:rRNA from 1 species